rnacentral:lncRNA from 1 species
GUCAUUCACUGUAUGAACAUAUGAAACUGAAGCACAUGAUCUUCAGACUAUGCACAGAUCUUUCAUUCACUGUCGUUGUAAGUUAUAUUUUUUCAUUUUAACCUGUUUUUUUUCCCGCUCUUCCUUUGGCCACGCCCCUCACCACUGUCCACCUCCACUUCCUGUUGUUUCCUUUGCCACAUGCAGGACAAUCAGCGUCACCUGUUCCUCUGCCUCCUGCUUAGCCUCCUCACCUCCAGCCUCUUCCUCUGCUUUUGAAACCAUAUCUGCACGUUUCCCCUGGCGCUCGCGUUUUUACACCGGCGCAGAGCGAAAGCUGUCAAGCUUGAACAUAUCCUCACUACGGAGACAAGGACGCAGGAAACAGAGCAGCCUCCAACGAGAGAAGAAGACGAGCGCUCUCAACGGGAAGAAGGGCGUCGGCCGCGGCCUUGAUGUGUGGAUGCCUGUGUAUCUGCACUGUACCACAGGUCAGAGGUCGCGACAAGGUGGAAAAAGAGGAACGCUGGGAAGAUCAACACGUCUCAUUCUGUGCAGACGCGACGCUGCCGGCGUUGGAAAUGACACACGGACACACGUCAACUCAGACUGAGGCUCGACGCUCGCUGAUGCUGAGCAGCGCCGCUCGUCCUCUGGGCUGCGUCUGACGGAAGCAGGAGAUGAAACGGGCAAACAAAGACGAAUGGAUCAAUGUGUGCAGGACACGGUCGCAUCCAGCGAAGGGACGCGAGAGACCGCUCGUCUCCCUGACAGUGGAGCUGUUCAGCGACUGCCUGUUCCCAUCCACCGUUUGUUUAUGCUGAGCCUUUAAGGACCACAGCCUGAACCAGAACCCUGCUAAUAAGCAGCACAGCAUCGGCCGGAUGCAUAAUUCAUCACUACUAAACUUGUUAGCGCGUACACAGAAGAAUAGCCCCUCACACGUUCACACAUGAGCAAACACUCACAUGUUGCAGGUUGCAGCUUUUCAGCUCAUCUCUUUAAAUAAUAAUAGAGCGUCAGGUUUGUCCUUCAAAAUAAAUACAGAAUAUUUUGAUUACUAAGUUCUUGU